CACACAACGGAUUUCUAUUUUCAAUCACGAUCGAUAUAGUUGCUUGGUGAGCGACUUCUUAUCAUUCAUGUUAAUAUUAUUUGGCGUUUCAAUUCGACAUACAUAAAGAAUUAAAACAAGAGAAUAUAUAAUGGAGGCACCGAUGGUAUCCAUUGAACGGAGUUCAUCGAUUGAAAGGGAACCCAGAACUCUCAGCAUCGACCAACUUGAAUCCGCAAGGGUUAAAUUUAGCGAUGUACAUAUUGAAUACAAAGCCUAUAGAAGAAGCUUCCAGAAUUUUCACAGAGGGUCUACAGCCGGUGGUUAGUGCAGCUUGCCGUAUGGGAUAUACAGGGAUGGAUAUGGAUCCUGCCCAAGAAUUGCAAAAUAUGAGAGACGAUGACCCUGCUGCACAUGAUGCUUUCAGGGACAUAGCAUCUGCACCUUUCUAGAACGUAUAUCAAAUAAUAAUAUGACUCUCUUCAGUUACGUAUUGUUGCUGCUGACGAGAGAUCUUCAAUGUAGUCUUUGUAAAUAUUUGUCAACAUGGGAUGAAAUUUUGGGUUUUGGUCUUCUAUAAUUUUUAUGGUGUCGCUGGAUUAUUCGUUGUUUUUUCAUGGAUGCUUUCAAUUUUAUUUUAUUUUAUUUCAAAAAUUUGAUGAGAAUA